rnacentral:rRNA from 1 species
AUUGAACGCUGGCGGCAUGCCUUACACAUGCAAGUCGAACGGCAGCAUAGAGAGCUUGCUCUCUGAUGGCGAGUGGCGAACGGGUGAGUAAAGCAUCGGAACGUACCGUGUAGUGGGGGAUAACGUAGCGAAAGUUACGCUAAUACCGCAUACGCACUGAGGUGGAAAGCAGGGGAUCGCAAGACCUUGCGCUAUACGAGCGGCCGAUGUCAGAUUAGCUAGUUGGUAGGGUAAAGGCCUACCAAGGCGACGAUCUGUAGCGGGUCUGAGAGGAUGAUCCGCCACACUGGGACUGAGACACGGCCCAGACUCCUACGGGAGGCAGCAGUGGGGAAUUUUGGACAAUGGGGGCAACCCUGAUCCAGCCAUGCCGCGUGAGUGAAGAAGGCCUUCGGGUUGUAAAGCUCCUUCGGCCGGGAAGAAAUCGCACAGGCUAAUACUCUGUGUGGAUGACGGUACCGGCAUAAGAAGCACCGGCUAACCACGUGCCAGCCGCCGCCGUAA